GAGUUUGAUCCUGGCUCAGGAUGAACGCUGGCGGCGUGCUUAACACAUGCAAGUCGAACGAGGAAUUUUAAAUGAGACUUCGGUGGAUUUUAAAAUUCUUAGUGGCGGACGGGUGAGUAACGCGUGGGCAACCUGCCCUGUACAGGGGGGACAACAGCUGGAAACGGCUGCUAAUACCGCAUAAGACCACGGAGCCGCAUGGCUCAGUGGGAAAAACUCCGGUGGUACAGGAUGGGCCCGCGUUGGAUUAGGUAGUUGGUGAGGUAACGGCCCACCAAGCCGACGAUCCAUAGCCGACCUGAGAGGGUGACCGGCCACGUUGGGACUGAGACACGGCCCAAACUCCUACGGGAGGCAGCAGUGGGGAAUCUUCCGCAAUGGGCGAAAGCCUGACGGAGCAACGCCGCGUGAGUGAAGAAUUAUUUCGGUAUGUAAAGCUCUAUCAGCAGGGAAGAAAAUGACGGUACCUGACUAAGAAGCCCCGGCUAACUACGUGCCAGCCGCCGCCGUAAG
rnacentral:rRNA from 1 species